rnacentral:rRNA from 1 species
UACGUAGGGGGCAAGCGUUGUCCGGAAUCAUUGGGCGUAAAGAGCGCGUAGGCGGCCCAGUAAGUCCGCUCUGAAAGUCAGAGGCUCAACCUCUGAAUGCGGGUGGAUACUACUGGGCUAGAGUCCGGAAGAGGCGAGUGGAAUUCCUGGUGUAGCGGUGAAAUGCGCAGAUAUCAGGAGGAACACCGAUGGCGAAGGCAGCUCGCUGGGACGGUACUGACGCUGAGGCGCGAAAGCGUGGGGAGCAAACAGG